UUCGGUCUGGUGGCGAGUGGCGAACGGGUGAGUAAUGUAUCGGAACGUACCCAGUAGCGGGGGAUAACUACUCGAAAGAGUAGCUAAUACCGCAUACGCCCUUCGGGGGAAAGGGGGGGAUCUUCGGACCUCCCACUAUUGGAGCGGCUGAUAUCGGAUAAGCUAGUUGGUGAGGUAAAGGCUCACCAAGGCGACGAUCCGUAGCUGGUUUGAGAGGACGACCAGCCACACUGGAACUGAGACACGGUCCAGACUCCUACGGGAGGCAGCAGUGGGGAAUUUUGGACAAUGGGGGAAACCCUGAUCCAGCCAUUCCGCGUGUGUGAAGAAGGCCUUCGGGUUGUAAAGCACUUUUGGCGGGAAAGAAACGGCGUCGACUAAUACUCGGCGUAACUGACGGUACCCGCAGAAUAAGCACCGGCUAACUACGUGCCAGCAGCCGCGGUAAUACGUAGGGUGCAAGCGUUAAUCGGAAUUACUGGGCGUAAAGCGUGCG
rnacentral:rRNA from 1 species